rnacentral:rRNA from 1 species
AUGCAAGUCGAGCGGUAACAGGGGGUGCUUGCACCCCGCUGACGAGCGGCGGACGGGUGAGUAAUGCAUAGGAAUCUGCCCGAUAGUGGGGGAUAACCUGGGGAAACCCAGGCUAAUACCGCAUACGUCCUACGGGAGAAAGGGGGCUCCGGCUCCCGCUAUCGGAUGAGCCUAUGUCGGAUUAGCUAGUUGGUGAGGUAAAGGCUCACCAAGGCGACGAUCCGUAGCUGGUCUGAGAGGAUGAUCAGCCACAUCGGGACUGAGACACGGCCCGAACUCCUACGGGAGGCAGCAGUGGGGAAUAUUGGACAAUGGGGGGAACCCUGAUCCAGCCAUGCCGCGUGUGUGAAGAAGGCCCUCGGGUUGUAAAGCACUUUCAGUGAGGAAGAACGCCUGGUGGUUAAUACCCAUCAGGAAAGACAUCACUCACAGAAGAAGCACCGGCUAACUCCGUGCCAGCAGCCGCGGUAAUACGGAGGGUGCGAGCGUUAAUCGGAAUUACUGGGCGUAAAGCGCGCGUAGGUGGCUUGAUAAGCCGGUUGUGAAAGCCCCGGGCUCAACCUGGGAACGGCAUCCGGAACUGUCAAGCUAGAGUGCAGGAGAGGAAGGUAGAAUUCCCGGUGUAGCGGUGAAAUGCGUAGAGAUCGGGAGGAAUACCAGUGGCGAAGGCGGCCUUCUGGACUGACACUGACACUGAGGUGCGAAAGCGUGGGUAGCAAACAGGAUUAGAUACCCUGGUAGUCCACGCCGUAAACGAUGUCGACCAGCCGUUGGGUGCCUAGCGCACUUUGUGGCGAAGUUAACGCGAUAAGUCGACCGCCUGGGGAGUACGGCCGCAAGGUUAAAACUCAAAUGAAUUGACGGGGGCCCGCACAAGCGGUGGAGCAUGUGGUUUAAUUCGAUGCAACGCGAAGAACCUUACCUACUCUUGACAUCCUGCGAAUU